GUAGGGAAUAUUGGGCAAUGGAUGCAAGUCUGACCCAGCCAUCCCGCGUGCCGGAAGAAGGCCCUCAGGGUUGUAAACGGCUUUUGACGGUGAAGAAUCGACAGGAUGCGUCCUGUUUUGACGGUAGCCGUUGAAUAAGCACCGGCUAACUCCGUGCCAGCAGCCGCGGUAAUACGGAGGGUGCGAGCGUUGUCCGGAUUUCUUGGGUUUAAUGGGUGGGUAGGCUGGAAGUUCAGUCAGCGGUGAAAAGCUGUCGCGUAACGCUAGUCUUGCCGCAGAUACUUCCUUUCUUGGAUGAGGAGGAGGCCACUGGAACGGAUGGUGUAGCGGUGAAAUGCAUAGAUAUCAUCCAGACCACCGAUUGCGAAUGCAGGUGGCUGUACCUUACUCGACGCUGAUGCACGAAAGCAUGGGGAGCAAACAGGAUUAGAUACCCGAGUAGUCC
rnacentral:rRNA from 1 species